rnacentral:rRNA from 1 species
GAGUUUGAUCCUGGCUCAGAACGAACGCUGGCGGCAGGCUUAACACAUGCAAGUCGAACGCCCCGCAAGGGGAGCGGCAGACGGGUGAGUAACGCGUGGGAACGUGCCCUUCGCUUCGGAAUAGUCCCGGGAAACUGGGUUUAAUACCGGAUACGCCGUAUUGGGAAAGAUUUAUCGGCGAAGGAUCGGCCCGCGUUGGAUUAGCUAGUUGGCGGUGUAAUGGACCACCAAGGCGACGAUCCAUAGCUGGUCUGAGAGGAUGAUCAGCCACACUGGGACUGAGACACGGCCCAGACUCCUACGGGAGGCAGCAGUGGGGAAUCUUGGACAAUGGGCGCAAGCCUGAUCCAGCCAUGCCGCGUGAGUGAAGAAGGCCUUAGGGUUGUAAAACUCUUUCGCCGGUGAAGAUAAUGACGGUAGCCGGAGAAGAAGCCCCGGCUAACUUCGUGCCAGCAGCCGCAGU